rnacentral:rRNA from 1 species
AGUCGACGGAGAUACGAUUUCGGUUGUAUCUUAGUGGCGAACGGGUGAGUAACGCGUGAGCAACCUGACUCUUAGAGGGGGAUAACACUCGGAAACGGGUGCUAAUACCGCAUAAGACCACGACAUGGCAUCAUGACGAGGUCAAAGGAGCAAUCCGCUGAGAGAGGGGCUCGCGUCCCAUUAGAUAGAUGGCGGGGUAACGGCCCACCAUGUCCGCGAUGGGUAGCCGAGCUGAGAGGCUGAUCGGCCACACUGGAACUGAGACACGGUCCAGACUCCUACGGGAGGCAGCAGUGGGGAAUAUUGGGCAAUGGGCGCAAGCCUGACCCAGCAACGCCGCGUGAGGGAAGAAGGCUUUCGGGUUGUAAACCUCUGUCCUUGGUGACGAAAAAAAUGACGGUAGCCAAGGAGGAAGCCCCGGCUAACUACGUGCCAGCAGCCGCGGUAAUACGUAGGGGGCGAGCGUUGUCCGGAAUUACUGGGCGUAAAGGGUGCGUAGGUGGCCUUUUAAGUUGGAUGUGAAAUACCCGGGCUUAACCUGGGGGGUGCAUCUAAUACUGGAAGGCUAGAGUGCAGGAGAGGAAAGCGGAAUUCCUAGUGUAGCGGUGAAAUGCGUAGAUAUUAGGAGGAACACCAGUGGCGAAGGCGGCUUUCUGGACUGUAACUGACACUGAGGCACGAAAGCGUGGGGAGCAAACAGGAUUAGAUACCCUGGUAGUCCACGCGGUAAACGAUGAAUACUAGGUGUAGGGGGUAUCAACUCCCCCUGUGCCGGAGCUAA